GAAUCGCGAUAGGUAAUGUGAAUUGCAGAAAUUCCGUGAAUCAUCGAAUCUUUGAACGCAUAUUGCGCUCUUUGGUAUUCCAAAGAGCAUGCCUGUCUGAGCGUCAUAUCCAUCUCUAGACAUUUAUGAUUGAUUCAUUUCGUCAUAAGGUCUCGGUCAUGAAUCCAUGACGUUGUGAAUUGCAAAUUCAUACGUCUGAUUCCAAAGACAUGGCAGCGUUGGCUUUGCAUCGUUGUGACGUACAUUCGUAUAUCAACAUACAAAACUUCACAUCGUGCUUUGUCAUCUCCCCGCUGCAUCCCCUCAUCAUCAUUUCUAACUAUACCAAUCAUGGUGACCUCAGAUCAGGUAGGAGUACCCGCUGAACUUAA
rnacentral:misc_RNA from 1 species